AUGAACGCUGGCGGCGCGCCUAACACCUGCAAGUCGAACGAUUAAAGCACCUUCGGGUGUGUAUAAAGUGGCGAACGGCUGAGUAACACGUGGGCAACCUGCCCCUCUCAUUGGGAUAGCCACGGGAAACCGUGGAUAAUACCGAAUACUUCGGGACUUCCGCAUGGAAGACUCGAGAAAGCUCCGGCGGAGAGGGAUGGGCCCGCGGCCUGUUAGCUUGUUGGUGGGGUAAUGGCCUACCAAGGCAAUGAUGGGUAGCUGGGUUGAGAGACCGACCAGCCAGAUUGGGACUGAGACACGGCCCAGACUCCUACGGGAGGCAGCAGUGGGGAAUCUUGCACAAUGGGCGAAAGCCUGAUGCAGCGACGCCGCGUGCGGGAUGAAGGCCUUCGGGUUGUAAACCGCUUUCAGCAGGGACGAGGCGAAAGUGACGGUACCUGCAGAAGAAGCCCCGGCUAACUACGUG
rnacentral:rRNA from 1 species